UACGUAGGGUGCAAGCGUUAAUCGGAAUUACUGGGCGUAAAGCGUGCGCAGGCGGUUGUGCAAGACCGAUGUGAAAUCCCGGGGCUUAACCUGGGAAUGGCAUUGGUGACUGCACGGCUAGAGUGUGUCAGAGGGGGGUAGAAUUCCACGUGUAGCAGUGAAAUGCGUAGAGAUGUGGAGGAAUACCGAUGGCGAAGGCAGCCCCCUGGGAUAACACUGACGCUCAUGCACGAAAGCGUGGGGAGCAAACAGG
rnacentral:rRNA from 1 species